UACGUAGGGUGCAAGCGUUGUCCGGAAUUAUUGGGCGUAAAGAGCUCGUAGGCGGUCUGUCGCGUCGGAUGUGAAAACCCAGGGCUCAACCCUGGGCCUGCAUUCGAUACGGGCAGACUGGAGUGCGGUAGGGGAGAAUGGAAUUCCUGGUGUAGCGGUGGAAUGCGCAGAUAUCAGGAGGAACACCGAUGGCGAAGGCAGUUCUCUGGGCCGUAACUGACGCUGAGGAGCGAAAGCGUGGGGAGCGAACAGG
rnacentral:rRNA from 1 species